rnacentral:misc_RNA from 1 species
GCAAACUUGGUCAUUUAGAGGAAGUAAAAGUCGUAACAAGGUUUCCGUAGGUGAACCUGCGGAAGGAUCAUUACCGAGUAACGGAGCCCUCGGGUUCCUACUCCCACCCUAUGUUGACUUUAAAACGUUGCUUUGGCGGACCGGUAGGCUCCUACCGCCGGCAUAACCCCGAGGCUGCAAACUUCGGGGCUGGAGAGCGUCCGCCAGAGGAUUUUUAAACUCUGUUAAUGGUGAAAUCUGAGUCUUAAAGAAAUUGAAUCAAAACUUUCAACAACGGAUCUCUUGGUUCUGGCAUCGAUGAAGAACGCAGC